rnacentral:lncRNA from 1 species
UGGAAUUUAGUUAUCAAAACUAUUUUUCUCCUUGUGCAGCAAAUAUGUCAAUCACUCCACACUUUGUGGUCGGCUCCUUUCCGAAUUGUAGUUGCCUUGAUUCUUCUAUACCAGGAAUUGGGUGUUGCGUCACUACUUGGUGCACUUCUACUUGUUCUUAUGUUCCCAAUACAGGUAUAGACCUAUUCCCCCCCACCAUUCCUAUAUUUUGCCUUAAAGAAACAGUUUAUGUAACACCUAACCUUUAUCCCUGAUGUUAUUUAUUUAAUCUAUAAUUUCCUGCUUUGCCCAUUUCAUAGUGCAAUGUUAUGUCAUUAUUUCAGUACAUAUACCUUUAGAGUUGGUUGGUGGAGGGCUCAGUGAAAGUAAAAUUUUAAAGAAAAAAGGCAUUUAAUAAAUUAAGGUCCCUAGAAAGAAAAUCAAUUCAGCUAAAGCUUUUCACUGAAAGUUCUUAAUCUUGAAGGAUUGGGUUUGAAAAGGACAAGAAGAUCUAUUCAUUUAGGCAACAUAUUUGCCUCAAACAUAGGAUGAAACUAAUGUAUUAGUAUUAGAUGUUACAGUGAUGCCAUUAAACAGAAUCAUGUAACUUGCAAUUUACCUCUGGGUUUGGAGGUAAAUAGGACGAAACACUUAGAAGGCUAAGUUAAACUAUGUGGCAAGCUUGGAGUUUGACUCCCAGGCAGUAAAGCUUUACACCCUUGUCUGCUUGUCAUUGUAAAUGGACCUGGAUCUUGAAUUUCUCACUCUGCAGAUCUUCUCCUCGUUUUUUUGUAGGAGCUAAUUGUUUUUUGUUUUAUCUCUAGAUGAGGAGGGUUUGUUUACGUUUCACCAAUAUCAAUUUUCUCUUAUGCUAUUUGAAUACAUGUUUAGUGAUCAUGAAAUCUUCUUCUGGACACAGACAUUGAUUAUAAGCAAGAUGCAGCAAUUGUCAAAAGAAGGGCUGCAACGCACAGACAAGCGAAUUGGACUCAUGAAUGAAAUUUUGGGUGCCAUGGAUACUGUCAAGUGUGUCUUGUCCUAUAAGUGGUUUAUGCCUUUAUAUGCUAUAUUAUAUGGCUAAAUAGCUGGCUGCAUAUGUUUCAGAUGUUAUGCAUGGGAGGAUAGUUUCCAGUCAAAGGUUCAAAAUGUGCGAAAUGAUGAACUGUCUUGGUUCCGUAGAGCACAACUAUUAGCUGCGGUAUGUUGGAGUUCAUUGAUAUGGGAAAUUGGUUUUGUUUUGUAUCCUUUCAUUCUCUCAAUAUUUACAUUACGAUAGUGUGUGUAAAAUUUCUCCAUCUUGUGUUUUGAGGAUUUAUUUCUUUCAGAGGAUAAGAUAAUUAUUCCGACAUUCCUCAUUUUGUUCAUUUCCUCUGUUGGAUUGAGCUGUAUGUCUUAGCUUUGCAGUAAAUCCUCUUUGCACUCUCUCUUCAUACACUGGAUACUUCAUUUGUUGCUGAUAAAGUACAAUAUUAACACACUAAUCUGAAAUGGCAUUUGAGGCUGUAAUCAUAGCUGAGAGCUAUACAAACUGAAGAGCGUGAUUGCAAUAAAUGCUAAACUGCUUGUCACCAAGUGUGCAUCAGUAGAAAUGUAAUCCUUGGUUUUUUAGUGAUUAACUGUUAAGAUUCUCUCCCUUUCCCUCUUUACAAGUGAAAUUACCACCAUGCUUUUCUUUCUUUCCUCUUAAAAUGAAACCUCAUUGAUAUUUUGCAUAUUUUGCAGUUGAACAGUUUCAUUCUGAACAGCAUUCCUGUGGUGGUGAUUGUGGUUUCAUUUGGGAUGUUCACUUUACUUGGAGGGGAUUUGACACCUGCAAGGGCAUUCACAUCUCUUUCUUUGUUUGCUGUGCUGCGCUUUCCACUAUUCAUGCUUCCAAAUAUAAUUACACAGGUUCUUUUUCCUUCUGUACAUUUGUGUUCUAUCAUUUCAUGUAGAGCUAGAUUGUUUUCUCCACCUUCCUAUCUGUACCAGGGAAUAGUUUUUUUUUUUUCCAAUGAGUUGUUUGUACAAAGUUUUUAUUCUUGUCCCUCUUCUGUUGUGUAUUUGUUCCUUUUUGCACUUUUUGUUGGAUGGGCAUGUCUGAGAAUUCAGCCUGUGUGCAAAAGUCAGAUGCAUCAUUCCCCUUCAAUAUAUAUAUAUAUUUUGUGAUGGUAUCUAUUUUGUUAGUUUGGUAAGAAGCCCUAUUAAUCUUAAUUGGAUUCUUGAUUAUGAACUCUUUAUAAUUAUUCUUUUGAUUAAGUUCCUGUAUGUGAGGUUGGAGCCAUUGAUGGGUUCUCUUCUAAAAAGAUGGGGAUUAUAGUGCUUAUUUUCUUUAUUUUUAUUUAUAAUAGCAUGUUGCUGGUUACAAGUUGAAAAUUUUAUUGAUAGAAAAUUUUUAGUAUUCUUGACAGUUUUUAUAAUCAACGCAUUGUUCAUAAUACCAUUCUUGGGAAUGUUUUCCUGUCAUUACAGGUUGUGAAUGCAAAUGUGUCUCUGAAACGCUUGGAGGAACUUCUGCUAGCAGAAGAGAGAAUUCUUCUACCUAACCCACCUCUUGAACCAGAAGUUCCUGCAAUCUCAAUCAAGAAUGGAUACUUCUCCUGGGAAUCAAAGGUGGUUUAUGUGUACAUUUCUGUAUUUAUGUUCUUCUACCUUUUCUUAAUAAUUGUAGAGAUUGCAAGAGAUUAAUCAUAAUCCGGAAGGGAUUAACUGAUAGUGAUAGCAAUCUAUAGAUUAGAGAAACUUGGGCCUGUUUAUGGCUCCCAAAACUAUCUAAAUGACAGUUCAUGUUGUCUUGGGUUCUAAUUGAGCCGGAGGUGGUGUAACUUAGUUGGAGAAUCAUAAGAGUUGAUCGAAUUAAGUUUCCUAACUGGUCAGAAUUAUAUAUAGUGUAGAAAGAGGUUGAAAAAUAAGAAUUCCUCUGAAGGUUUGGAAACCAUAACCUAACUUUCAGUUAAAACAAGACAUCAUACGAAUUGAACAUUUCUAAUUGACACCUCAUGUAUAUUGCCAUCCAAAUCUUCUUCUUUUUAGAAGAAUAAUGCCACAACUGUUCAAUUAAAUUACACAAGUGAUUCAUCUCGAUUAUAUUCUUGAAGAUUAUUACUCCGAGUACUUUUAACAUCGAAAAAAUGGUAAUGUGGGCCCAGCAAUUGAUUGAUAGACAAAAGUACCUCUAAAAUCCUAAAACUCAUUACAGGUGAACUAAUUCGACCAACUCCGAAGCAAUUUCAGGUAAACCAUUUUGAUAAUUUGUUUAAUCACUGGUCAAUUCCCAGUUACACAUGAAGCGCUUCUUGCAUGCAGAUAAAUUGCAUAGUUUGUUAAAAAUAUAUAUAUAAAUCACCAAGUGGGCUGUUUGGCAUAGAAACCAACCUGUUUUGCUUUUAACUGCUUGAGAUUAUGUUCAUAGUUUUCCUAUUGACUUCUUGAGGUUAUAGCUGUUUCUUAACAUUUUUUUUAACAAAAUUGGAAGUUAUAGGGUGGUAAAUGUUGCUUCAAAGAGUUAAUAUGCAUAUUUCUCUUGUUGUAUAUUACCAAUUGGCUUUCUCAAGUUCUAGAUUGUUAAGCUUGCACAGAGUUUUUACUGUGAACGAAUGGUAUGCUCAAUGCAUUUCCCACUGAUACCAGGCAGAUAAACCUACAUUGUCAAACAUUAACUUGGAUAUACCAAUUGGUAGCUUGGUAGCAAUUGUUGGCAGCACAGGAGAGGGAAAGACAUCACUUAUCUCAGCAAUGCUUGGGGAGCUUCCUCCAGCAUCUGAUGCAACUGCUGUUGUCCUCAGAGGAACAGUUGCUUACGUGCCCCAAGUUUCGUGGAUUUUCAAUGCAACGGUAGGGAAUUUCUUUUCAUGUUUCUACUGAUCUUAGUUCCUUGAGUGGAUGCCACUUGCAUUUCAAGUCAUUUUGUUUUUCACUGUGCUUGUUACAUCUUUAAUAAGAAUCAGAGGCAUUUUUUUUUUUACAGGUACUUUUGUGAGUCAAAUAAAUUAUUGUCAUAAUAUGAAUCACUGGAAAGCUUUCUAUUGGCCGUGAAAUAGACUUGAAGAUUCGUAAUAAUUGGUGUAUAUGAUCUGCCCAUCCUCUGGUUAUGCUCAUCUCUUCUAGCAAUCGUGGCUCAUGCUGAAAAGUCUUGGUUUUCAUUUUCUUUUUGUUGAACAUUAUAAUAGUAGUUCCUUCCAUUGUUGUGGAAAAAUCAAUGUUCUACUACUGAUUCAGGAUCAGCUAGGAUUAUAAAAAAAGGGAAAAAAGGCAUUCAGCCUAAUUGGUUUGGGAAAGGUAGAAGUACCUAUUAUGGAGGUCUACUAAAUCAACUACAGUUGCUUCUCUUGAACUUAUAGUUAUCUGUGAACAAAGAAUACUUGUAAUUGAAGAUAUGAAUUCUGUUUUCUUUUCUGGUUGUGAGAAAGUUUCAACAUACUGAAUGAACAUCUGUUCAGAUAGGUUUAAACAGUGUUAUUUUACUGUCUUAUGCCAUUAAAAGUUUUUACAUUGUCCUGUAACUAUUGUAAUUGGAUUCUACCUUUCAGUCAAGAGUUAAUCAACAUCAAAACGUAUAUCUUUGUGAUAAAAAAUUUCUCAUGGCUCUGUGAUCAAGAAUCUAUUUUCAUUGUAUGCAAGUUACACAUUUCUCUCAGAAAUACUUUCUAAAUUUCAUUACAGCAGUGGUAUGUUAUGCUCCAGAAUUUCUAGUGUCUAUCAUACGAGUCAACAUGGCAUAUUGACAUCCAUUUUAAAACAUUAUUUGCAGACUGAGAACUUAAUUAGUUGGUAUAUCCAUUUUAUUUUUCUCUGAAAAUCUUGCAGAUUUGGAAUGACGUUUCGCAGUUUAUUGGGCCUAUGAUAUUGAAUCAACUUUUAAAGGUGAGUUGCAUCUAAUCUUUAUCUUCUUUCAAAACUUGCUUCCAAAUGUGAAUGACUUGAGGGUAUUGUUGAGCGUGUCUUGAAGUUGGAAAUGAAACAGCUGGACUUGAUAUCUUGUGUUUAAAUGAUAUGCUGACUUUAGUCAGUUAACCCUACAAAAGUAUUUAUCAUGUGGACGUGAUCUGAAGUUUAAUUUCAACAUUUUGAAUCACUUUACUUUUACAGAGUGUACCUUUCCUUUUCUAACCUCCACAUAUGUGGUCUUGCCUUUUUAUGGUAAAAAGCACAAUCUCCUUAAGCCAAGUUGGUAAUUACUAAGUCAAUUAUCUUGAAUCAAAGUUAGAGUGGGAAGCAUUCUUGCUAAGGUAAAAAGCACAAUCUCCUUAAGCCAAGUUGGUAAUUUCUAAGUCAAUUAUCUUGAAUCAAAGUUAGAGUGGGAAGCAUUCUUACUUCUGGAAUUAGCCAUAAAAAGUAGGAUAUUUGAGAUUGAUAACUAAAAGGUUAAAAUAACUAGAUAAUUAGCGCAAUGAAUCCUUAAUGAUAAAAGAUAUGCAGUAUUUGAACGAAAUGCUGAAAUUGCACCUUGAAGUAUGUACUUCUGUUCUUCCAUCUGUUUGUAUCCUCUGUAUUUCACUUUAGAUUUCAACUUUGAUUGUAAUCCAUCUACAUUAAAACUUUCCUAUUAGUUUCAUUUAUAGGACAAGCAUAGCUUUAGGACUUAAUGGUAAAAAGUAGUGCAGAAAAAAUUAAGAUCCCACGAUGCCACAAGUGUCUUCUUCUACCACUUUUGACUUGAAUUUCUGGUCAAUUUGUUCUGAGGAAUUAUCUCCCUAGCAGUGUAAAGUCUAAUCCCAUUGCUUUUGCCAACCAAAAGGUUGAUGGUUCUCUAAAAUCUUCCAUGUGUUCCGGAUCUGUUUCAAGUCUAGGAUAGUAGAUUUGCUUUAAUAAGUUUGUGUGUACUUAACGCAGUCUGAAGAAGACAUACGAUGAUUUCCCUAUUUUCCAUUUAAUUUAUAUUUUGACUCUCACUUAUUGUAUCCAUUUCAUGUUUCAGUUUCUUAUCUCAUUUACUUUUUGACAGUCCAUGCAAGAUGGAGACCCGGCUUGGAUUGGUUACAUUUAUGCAUUCUCAAUUUUUGCUGGAGUGGUAUGGUUUGAGUCCUUGAAUUUGAAGUUCUGAAUUUUAAUUUCAUACUAGCUAUGCUUUUGGUAAAUGCUUUAGGUUGCAUGUAAGCCCUUCCACUAUUUGUUUUGCAAACUUUUGACUUAAUCGUUUUUUACUAAAUUUCAAUAUUGUGACUUUGUUGGACGUCAUACAUUGUUCUCUGUGAGCACUUACCAGAAAAGAUCUAUCAUUUAUUCCCUUCAUUCUGAGGGUCAAUAGUUUCCUAAAUAACUACUAUUGUAAUCAAGUUUUUUUUCCCCUUUUUUUGGGGUAGGAGUUAUCUGAAGUUGGUAUCCUUCCUGGUUAUGUGCUUUGACAUGCUUGGAUUUUAUAUGAUUUAGGUAUUUGGAGUAUUAUGUGAAGCUCAAUAUUUCCAAAAUGUAAUGCGCGUCGGAUACCGAUUGAGAUCAACCCUGGUAAGAUAUACUUUUAUCUUACAAAAUCUGACAAUUUUAUCACUAGAGCUGUUAUUGUCCACUGCUUUGCAUGUUAGAGUAAUUGAUUUGUUUCAUUUCUUUCAUAUGGGUAUGUACACUUUAGAACCGUAAUGUACGUUUUAGUUGGAGAGCUGAGGGGUCCAGAUAAAUUAUAUUUGUGUUCAACACCUAGUAUUGUCAACAUGAGCUGGUUUAAGGGCUUUCAGUGAAUUUAUUUUUCUUCCUCUGACAACGGUUUUUUGAGCUUCAUAAUUUUUUGAGCAUCAUCAUAUUGCUGAUUUUUUUUUUCCUGCAACUUGUUUUAUAGAUUGCUGCAGUUUUCAGGAAGUCACUGAGGCUAACACAUGAGAGUCGUAGAAAAUUUGCAACUGGGAAAAUAACCAAUCUAAUGACCACCGAUGCUGAAGCUCUUCAGGCAUGAUUCCUUUAUGAAUUUCUCUAUGGUCUGGUUUCUUAAUGCUACUGUGAUCUUUAUGUUGUCAGAGAGAUGCCAAAAUCUGACUUUUGAUUCUAAAUACAUGGUGUAAUGGAAUAAAGCAGUGGUUUUAACUUUUCUGUAUGCUGUUAAUAAUAUACCAUUGCUGUCAUAACUCGUUGCAGGUUUAGUUUAGAUUGUAACUAAUCAUCAGAAAAAGGAUUUUUUUUUUUAAUUGCCUCAAUAUGUGGAUAAAGGCCAGAUCGGGCCAAGCUUGACACCCUCCAACUUAUACCAUAGAUCCAUGACUUGAUUCAAGGGUGACCAUCAGCAAGUCCGAUCUAUGUCUGACGAUGACAUGUUGCAAGUCUCUCUGUGUUUGUUUUUCGUGUGUGAUAUUAUAUCUCUAACUUCAGGAGGAAUAAGUGUUGCUUAAAGCUAUUCUGCAUACCUAAAGCAUGAAAUUUGGAGCACGGGCUUCACAAAUUCUUUAAUCCUGAAUGAACACAAGCCAACUUGGAGACCAACUACAUGAAAAUAUUCCCGGAGUCGGCCUUCAUAGACUUGCCCUUAAGACUGUCAGAGCACCUAAGAAAAGAAAAUGUGUCCAAUGCUGGGAUUUUGUUAGAGAUAAUAUGACUCAAACUUGGAUAUCUGUAUAGUGGUCGCCCUUCCCUAGUUAACUUGCUUCCAACUUUCCAUUGCAGUGGAUGUGGUUUAACUUUCUGUAUAAUCAAAGUAGACAUUUGUGUUUACUUAUCCAAUAAUCCUUGCUCUCUCCUGCUGGUACUGGCUUUUUCUCAUCAUAUGUUGCCCUUGUCAAUUAUGAUCUUGUGAAGCUUUGAGGGUUUACUUGUAGGUUAAAGCUUCAGAAGAUCAUAUUUCUAUUCCAGCUCUUACCAGACACAAUGGUCUUGAGCAAAUUAUUACAUGAAUAAUUUGGUCAUUAUAGAGAGUGCAAUAAAAGAUGCUUUACCUUGCCAUCACUUGUAUGGACUUGUGUGAGAAAGUACUAUGAAGUUCCUAUGCUCUUAAUGAUACAAAAGCUACUGCGGUACAUUGCCUUGCUCUUAAAUCACAAUCAGGAGCUGAUGAGCAGUCAUGAAUUUUUUGCACUCACCGACAGUAAACCUUUAUCUGUAUGACCAAGUUAAGGAGCUGAGAUGCUAACCUUAUGUAUUACUCGAUGGAAAUUUACAAUGUCCAAAAGCUGUUUCAGAAAUUGUCAUCUUUAAGUAUCUCUUGACAUUCUGUACAUUUUCUGUGGAAUUUAGUUAUCAAAACUAUUUUUCUCCUUGUGCAGCAAAUAUGUCAAUCACUCCACACUUUGUGGUCGGCUCCUUUCCGAAUUGUAGUUGCCUUGAUUCUUCUAUACCAGGAAUUGGGUGUUGCGUCACUACUUGGUGCACUUCUACUUGUUCUUAUGUUCCCAAUACAGGUAUAGACCUAUUCCCCCCCACCAUUCCUAUAUUUUGCCUUAAAGAAACAGUUUAUGUAACACCUAACCUUUAUCCCUGAUGUUAUUUAUUUAAUCUAUAAUUUCCUGCUUUGCCCAUUUCAUAGUGCAAUGUUAUGUCAUUAUUUCAGUACAUAUACCUUUAGAGUUGGUUGGUGGAGGGCUCAGUGAAAGUAAAAUUUUAAAGAAAAAAGGCAUUUAAUAAAUUAAGGUCCCUAGAAAGAAAAUCAAUUCAGCUAAAGCUUUUCACUGAAAGUUCUUAAUCUUGAAGGAUUGGGUUUGAAAAGGACAAGAAGAUCUAUUCAUUUAGGCAACAUAUUUGCCUCAAACAUAGGAUGAAACUAAUGUAUUAGUAUUAGAUGUUACAGUGAUGCCAUUAAACAGAAUCAUGUAACUUGCAAUUUACCUCUGGGUUUGGAGGUAAAUAGGACGAAACACUUAGAAGGCUAAGUUAAACUAUGUGGCAAGCUUGGAGUUUGACUCCCAGGCAGUAAAGCUUUACACCCUUGUCUGCUUGUCAUUGUAAAUGGACCUGGAUCUUGAAUUUCUCACUCUGC